rnacentral:lncRNA from 1 species
AGUUACGUUGAUAAUUAACUCGCUUGUUGGUUCUGCGUGGAAGUGUCGUUUUUUUCGAUCUAAUCGAUGGGUAUUUUUUUUCUUUUUUCUUUUUUUUUUCUUGCAGAGUUUUUUUUAUUGAAUCUUUUUUGAAGAAGUUUUGACGAGGCUCGAACCCGUGAUAGCAUUUUCUAUACUUUAAUGGAUUUUUAUUUUUUUUUCUUUUUUUCAUCAAUAAAUUCUUAUUUAUAUAUGAGUUAUAUACUAAUGAAUAGCAUAUUGAUUCCCCAUGUACGUGUGUGUAUAGAUAUAGGGUUAGGUUAUUGUAAUAUUGUUAUUUUUUAUAAGACGUAAGAUUAAUGAAUAAAUCAAUGUAUAUAGUGUUGAAUAA